rnacentral:lncRNA from 1 species
UUCAUCUUAUCAUUAUCAUUGCUGAGUACGUUUAUUUUUUGGUUGCAAAACACAGUGUCUAAAUCAACCAAAUUUUAUUACUGCUAAUAAUGAAGUGAUCAGAUCACAGGCCAAGUUAGGGAUCCUGUAGUUCUAGGAUCAAUGUUCCACCCUGGACAGCUCAGCAGGAAGCUGAAGGAUGUGCAGGACAUCUGGGAAAAAAAGCCACAAGGCUUUGUGGUAUUACAGUGACCUGUCUUGAAUUUGUUAGGGUACAGUCCUGAGAUUAAAAACAUUU